GCAAACUGCAGUGUUAUGCUGAGGUACAGUUUAGAGAAGUCUGAAGUGUGUGAGGUGAUUCUGAUGAGACCUCAAGUCUAAUCCUGCAACCACGUAUCUGCUAAGUCAUAACCCCAGUACCCAGAAGUUCCAUUUUUCUAUGGUAUAAAUUAUGGUCCUUUUGCUCGGCCACAAGGAAUUUUCUAUCCGCGGCUCCGGAACGUUCAGUCUGCAGUAAACACAGGGAGGGGACAGCAAGUACCAGAAGAAUGGCGAAGUAUGCAGCCUGGCGCUACGCCCAUAGAAUACAGUUUCUGCAUCUGUGCUUUGUUGUGACCAGUAAGUGCACUGCUAUGGGGGCUCAGGACGUGAAUUACCCCAUAUCCCCCCCAAGAUAUCAUAUACAGUAAUACUGGCUAUGUCCUCACAUCUGUAGUAUGCAGUGUGGGCAUCUAUAUAUUUGUACUUAUCUUGACAGAAUAAUACCCCUGACAUGACUUAUGCAGUGUCUUAGUAAUAUGGAUUUAAUCAGUGACCUAGUAAAUAUCUAGCCCCCUUCCGAAUUGAUUAUGAGUGCAUGCACAAAAGUAAAUCACACACAGACACACAUUGUCAGCGUUAACAUAAUUCUAGCUUUAUUAGGCAGUCGUACAGGUUAUAUAGCCAUUGCAAUUAACAUAAGUUCCCACCCUCACUAGGGAGGUAUUGAAAGAGCUUUAUUUGUCAUUCAGUCGUCAUUACAAGUCAUACAAUAAAUUACAAUCACACAAAGCAUGACAGUACAAUAUACAGCACAGGUUCCCUAAGCUAUACACCGUACCACAUGCUAUGCUAACACUCCGCACCAUCACUCGAUAUCGAAGAAACACAGCCGAAAAACAACAACAUAUUACAGUCUGUGAUCGGGGAGAAGUAUGGGAUCAUAUAAGGUAUGCUUUCUCUGUUAGUUUUUUGGUGAAAACUUCUAGGCGUUGGCCAGGACAGGAAGUUCCUCUACAUGAUGGGAGGAGGGGAAGCAAGGAGCAGAAUAGCAUGGGGGAUGGGCUUUGUCAAAUAGUCUUUUUAUAAUGCAUACACGCAUGCAUAUAUAUAUAUAUAUAUAUAUAUAUAUAUA